GUGCCCGCUUUGGCAGCACAUAUGCUGAAAUUGAACAAUACCGAGAUUAGCAUGGUGCCUAUGCACAGAUAACAAGCACAUUCGUGAAGCAAUCCAUAUUUUU
rnacentral:snRNA from 1 species